GCAGCCAAUCAGAAGCUGUGCCUGACAAGUGACCUUGCUGCCGAGCAGCUGAUUGGCUUUGUCAGAACUGUCAAUCUCUUCAAGACCCUGACAGGAUAAACAGAGCAGAGAUAUGCACAUAGACACAGACAAAGGAGAUGCAGGAGGAAUGUGAGAGAAUGGAAACAAAGACAGAAAAGGAUAGAUGAGAGAGACAGAAAACUGGAAGGAGAUGGAGGCCAGCCUUGAACCAUAAUGGCUCUUCAUUGGUUCAAAUGUACAAGUGACAGUGCUGCUGUUUUGGCUCUCUUGGAUGAAUGGGGAUGGGUGAACCUGCGCCAGCCAGGCAGCUGCCAUUGAGAUGAAUGGGAAUGCUACCAGAUAGCUCUCUCCAGGUGUCCAGGGAUGCUGUGAGCCUAUAAGAGGGGUCAUCUUCAUGCCCCCUGCCUGACACCCCUACAAUACUCUACCAGACCUCACAAUCAACCCAUUGUUCAUGCGGUCAAUAUCGCAAAGGAAAAGGUAAGGUGUGUGUGUGCACACAUACUGUAUCCUGAAGCCUGCGCUUACUACUGCAAGCCCAGCCAGACUCCAAUCAUAAUCCUGAGGAUUUUAGGAUAUGAUGACUCUACAAAUGAACUUUAAUCAAUGACAAUUACUUAUUUUGUUUUGAAGUGGAAAUGAGGUAUGAAAGAAAAAAUAUAUAUUAAAAAUAAAAAAUUAAUAAAAUGCAAAUUUUAAAUAAUUUUU
ensembl:lncRNA